AUUAGAUAGAUAGAUAGAUGGAUAGAUAGUUCCGUCCAGACGCCUUGUCACCCAAAUUUCUUGCAAGACUUGCAGCAACAGACUUGUUUUAGCGUAAACACCUGGUGAUGCAAACAAUGAUAUAAAAGAAAUGAUAGUACCAUACAAUCGUUAUGCACCCAGAAUAAUAAUGGUUCAGUAAAAACAUCAAGAUACGUCACAUCUCUUCGCACAUAUCAGUGGUUGUACAUGUCAUACCAAUCUAUGGCAUACGGUGCAUGUUUAAAAGGUAUAACAAAACACAAUAGAAGAAAGUAGUGGCUUAGCCCUAGAGAAUGUAAAAGGCAGUAGACAUAUAUAAUAAAGGGGCAUUAAUAUGCAUUUAUAGUAGUUUGUGACACAUGAUAACGGGCAGUAGAUCGCACACAUAGCUUGCUUGCACAUUUCACACCAACUGAGCACAAAUCAAGGCAUGAUAUGCACAAAAAUAACAGAGAAGCCAGUGUGGGAGAAGGGAUGGCUCACCAAUGCACCCCCAGAUCCAAGCUCCAACACUUCGAUGCCCUUUUGGAUUUUCAUGGAAAACCAUAUAGACACAUAUAAAUAAAAAAUCUACAAAAAGAAGAUGUUAUAUAUUGUAGUACUAAUUCCAAUCGAGGCAUGAUUAUAUUAUUGGAGGAUGUUGAACUCAACGGAUUAUAUUCUUAUUGAUUCCUUCUGAUUGUUUAUUUGCUGAAAGCCCACCGGUCAUGAAAUCAACUACGGAUGAUUGUUAAUUACAAUGCUCUAGGAGAACUGAUCAGGGUGUGUGAGCACAAAAAAACUCAGCAACCUUCGUGAUGACAACUGUGAAUAAACAUAAAAGGUAUAUUUUGCCUUUAUUAAUUAUUAAUUUUGACUUCAUAUUCACAAAGAGUAAUACCAAGUUCCAUUAAAAGGUUGAUAAAAGGCCGAGUGCUAGCCUUGCCUUUUUGGUUUUAAAGGGAGGGGGUCUCAUCAGCAAUGACACACCCCUUAGUUCACUACAGGGAGGGAAAACAGUCAGACCCACUUAUUCGGUAUCGAUGGAUCAAACAGGAAGCACAGGAGGCAAGUAGAAGCAUAUACCUUGAAGUACCAUCCCCCUCAUCACCUAGGGUAGCAGGACCAUCGACCAGCGCUGCAUAUUCAUAGAAGCCCAAAGCACAUACAACCAAAUUAGAUAAACAUGUUACUGAUAUUGAUCUUAUUCUUACAAAAGACAGCAGAUAAACAUGUCAGAAGAAAAUAUACACUUGAGAUUGUAUUUAGUAGAGUACAAAUUCAAAAAUACUUACAGUUGCAUUGAUGCAGCUGAAGCUGAUUAUCGUGCCCUGAGCUUCCCGCAGCUUGACAUGUGCCACCCGCUUUUCAACCAUCCUGUGGAUGCAUGGCUGUACAGCAGAACCUUGAAAACAACCAAGUUCAAAAUUGAACCAAAGAAUGAGCGAAAGAUAAGAAUGCCUAUCAGGCUAUGCUGUAAUUGUUGGAUUAAUAUAUUGGAAAUUAAGAAGCGUGAUAGUCAGAACAGACUAUAUCACAAGAUUAUAGCAGGGAUAUGCAACUACAGAUCAAGUAAAGAUGAUGUUGAAAUAGCUGAUGUGUUCACAACUCAAUUAAGAAGUAUAAUAACCUAAGAGACGCCGGUCUUUUUCCCUCCAUAUCUUAGCAUGGACAUUUCACAAUCCAUCUCCUUUAAUUCUUCUUAUAACAAUUAUUCAACACCCGGUCCACUAUUCGGCUAAUAUUAGCUAGCUCGCUACCUUGCUAUGGACAAUGUCCACACUAACAAUUUCAAUAGUUAUUCUUGUUCCCAGACUGAUCCAUAGACCAUAGUAUAUUCCUUCGCCUAAGCCUCUCGCAACGCAAGCUACUGCUCUCCUAUAUAAACCAAAAUAGCAUUAUAGUGUAGUUAACUCUUGGUUUUAUACAGGAUUCUAGUACUGUUGAAUAAAAACAAACCAAGUGCUUGUGGGUCAUGUAAACAGAGAAGCAAAUGAGAAAUCGGGAUGUGGUUCAAAAUAUUUCAGUGGUACCAUCUAUAGUUUAAAAAGUCAUUUUGGGACUAACAUACAUGUAGGUAAUGCACGAAUAUCAUGCAUGUUGCGCUAACAACAUUCUGAAAUCAAAUGCGCACACCAUCUAUCACAUGUCCUGAUUCCUAAAGCUGAAUUAAACUCAACCGAUAUAUGCAGAACAAUUAAUAUUUUUGUGGCAGUACGUAGAAAGAUAAACCCAUAAAGAGAUAAUAGAUAUGACUAAUGGGGUCAUUUUAAUUUACUAUAAUUGUCAUUUACCCCCAAAAACAGUUGAAAUUAUCAUGUAUGCCAUUGGGUGUCGUGUUAUUUAAACUAAAAUUCAGACAAAUAAAUAUAAAACUAACUUAGGAGAGAAGUACUUUGUCCUCCCUUUCUUUCUGCGCCUGUCGACCACUCAAAUGAUGGCACAAAGCAAAACCCAACAAAUUGGAAGGAAAGGAGAGGGGUCCCUCACCUAGCGAAGCGAUAGAGGGGGGGGGAGGCAACAGGCAAGAACAACAACGAUGAAAACUUGUAUAUGUGCGCCUAAUUGGGAGACAUAUAUUAGAUGACAUAAAAGUAUAUUGUGGCUAAUUCAAGAAAUCUAUAUAUCCUAGAAAAAUAAGUGAUUUCCAAUUGAUCAAAGGCAUCCUCUUUAUCAUCUGGACACACAAGAAGAAAAUUUCAGACCAAAUGUAGCAGAUCAGAUUGUCUUUUCAGCUUGUGAAAAAGAGUUAGCUUUUUUAGGGAUAAUAAGUCAAAAAGGUUAUGUUGUGGUCACAGGGAACAUAACGUCCUAACGGUGGAUACUCGAGUGGUAUAAGCAGGUAGUAUUUUUAUCUCAUUUAGUCGCAUUAAAAUGAACCUAGACUAUAUACUGCAGCUAAUAUAUUUCAUAUUGGCGUAAAGGGAGAAGCCCGGUGAAAUCAGCUAAGAAUUCAUCUAGGAACGAUCCGUUCUGUUAUUUUCAAAGGCACAUAUCAAAUGAUCCCAAGUAAGAAUAUCAAAGUUGUGGAAUCUCAAAAGAUCCAUCUAGGAACGCAAGUAUGGUAACUAAAUAGUGAUUAAAUUAAUGUUUGAGCUUGGAUAAGGUUACCUGGGUGGCCUCUUCUCCAAACGGUCCUCAACUUUGGGACAUAGAUGGCUUGCUUAAUGCAAUCCGGGCAGCAUGAGCCUCUUCAAAUGGAAUGAUCCCUGUCAUUGCCCGCAACAUUAGACCAUUAGACCAUGCAAGUACAAAGGUUUCUAUAAAAUUCAAGAUUUCCACAAUAUAUGUUGAAUAUACAAAUUAAUCCAAAAAUCAAAUAAGCAAAAGAAAAUCACUAUAUUGAAUAUACAGAGUACUCCACAUGGUCCAUAUGUAGAAGCCAGCGACCAGAGUUGCAUUUGUGAACAAGUUCAAAGGAUAAACCAUCAUUUGAUUAGGAGCAAUAGCUACCUGAGUAGUCUGCAAGAGUUUGCAUUAUUUUGAGAUGAAUUGGCCAUAACUGAGCUUCCCCGCGAACACUUGACUACAAAGAAGAACAUGGGUGAGUAGCUGGUACUCACACUGAACAUUUACUCAGUCAAGAUCAAGACAGAAUGAAAGAUACAAAAAAGAUCUAUUAACAAAACAGUAGAUGCAUAGGACCAAGCACAAGUUCUUUCAGUCAAGAUCUUUGUUCAGUCAAGUUGAUGUUCAGAACCUCUCAAUUUCUGUCAGGUUUUGAUCUGUCAAGUUGAUGGUCAGUCAAGAUCAAAUUUCUGUGACCAAAUGAUCUUAGACUUACUCUUAACGAUUGGAUCAUGAAAUUGCAGUGAUAAACAUGAUAAACAAUACAAGGACCCCAAAAACCUAUAUUCAGUGAUCUUAUUAAAGAAACUACAGAACAUACACUGUAUUCGAAACUUGCUGCCAUUUAAGCUAGUUUUUCACAGAAAACUCAUUAGGACCCCCAAGAAACCAAUUAAUCUGAUGAGAUAUUGACAUUAUAAUGUGCAUCUCAUUCAGACCUGAGAUGCAAAAAUAUCCUCUCCCUCAUUGCUGCCUUUUUCCUUUUUUAUGCAUUCAUUCAGUGAUUUGAAUGUUCUGUACAUUACAAUGUGCAUUUCAAUCAUACUUGAGAUGCAAAACUAAAGCUUGAAAAAAAUUCAGGGAACUUGCUACUCAAAAGAUAGACUAAAUUCAGGGAACUGAAGCUUCAAGAUAGACAAAAGAAGCAUUUUGGAGUAGAACAUGGGAGGCAAAAGAGGGGGAGCCGCACCUUGGCAAGUGGGGGCGAGAGCACCCACGACGGAAAAGGUGUUUCUGAACGGGCCAUCAUCUGGCUGUUACUGGAACUGAACCACGUAGUAUAACUUCAGAGAACACUGAACCAGAUUUACAUAUUUAGCUAGUGAGAUGACAUCAUGUGGUUUUCCUGAAUGUAAAUGACCGCUUAUAAACAUUGCAUGCUUGCAAAAUUAAAAGCAAACUCCGUUCAAAUAGCCUGAAAUUACCGAAAAUAAAGCUGUAAUACUGAUAUAUUAUCCUAAAGAUUCAGGCAGGUUUCCAUCUAACCUGAUUCUCUGGGAUUAUUUGCAGAUUACUUCAAAUAGUUCAACGGUGUAGCUCACCUUCGAGCCAGCACCCACCAGGCGGUGACCUGCAAGCCCAGGCAUGGAAAAAGUAGAGGUCAGAGAGAGAGAGAGAGAGAACCUAAUGAAGAAUGAAGUGGAGACGGGG
rnacentral:lncRNA from 1 species